CGCCCGCCGCGCGCGGCGGGCGGGGCGGGGUGGGGAAUAUUGCACAAUGGGCGGAAGCCUGAUGCAGCAACGCCGCGUGCGGGAUGACGGCCUUCGGGUUGUAAACCGCUUUCGCCUGUGACGAAGCGUGAGUGACGGUAAUGGGUAAAGAAGCACCGGCUAACUACGUG
rnacentral:rRNA from 1 species